CAGUGGAGAGGGGGAUUGGCCAGUGGAAGCGGAGAUUUCAUGUGCUCCAUGGUGAAAUCAGAGUCAGCCCUCCUGCAUAUGUGUGUAGAAUAAUACAGGUGUGUGCUAUUUUGCACAACAUCUGCAAAGACAGACGCCUCCCUGUACCCGAGGAAGGAGAGGACGAGGGUGAUGGUGCAGUUUUCCAUGAGGACCCACCUGUCCCACUACCACCUGUACCUGGACGAGUUCGGGAAGGUCUGCUCUACAGGGAUGAGUUUGUCAACCUUCACUUCAUUGACAGACCUCAACCUCAGCCUCGUGCAGCUGUGUGAUGCUUCCCGACCCAUCAAC